rnacentral:sRNA from 1 species
UUUAAACCUGAAUUCCAAGACCUGCGAAAACCGAACCCUAAAAACUAUCGUGGGUUACCUCUUUCCCUGGUGUUGGCGCAGUAUUCGCGCACCCCGGCCUCGGU